UUUUUUAGUUUCACUUUUCUGUAAUUAUAAUAGCAACCAUGUAUCAAACACCUGCUAUAUGCAGGUGUUUACGUCCGUUCUUUCUAACCUGCACAGCAGCCCUGCUGGCAUCAUUAUCCCCAGUUUACUGAGGUCCCAGAGAGUACGUGACUUGUGCAAGGCCCUGGGACCAGUACGCACAGAGCCGGCAUUCAAAGCGAGGUCUGACUCCACAGCCCGCGCUCUGCCCUUCCUUGAGCUGCCUCUGUUCAGGAGGCAAUCACAGGUUCCUGACUGAUACAGUCCACUUCAGUCUGUUCCACUGUCCAUAUGGGAUUUAAUGAAUUCACAACGAAUGUAACCUAUAGAAUCUUAAAAUUUUUUAUAUUUAUUCUUUAUUGAAAUAUAGUUGAUUUACGAUGUUGUGUUAGUUUCUGCUGUACAGCAAAAUGAUUGUUCCCUGUGCUAUACAGUCGGACCUUGUUCAUCCAUCCUAUAUAUAAUAGUUGGCUUCUGCUAAUCCCCAGCUCCCAAUCCAUCCUUCCCCCACCCCUCCUCCCCCUCGGCAACCACAAGUCUGUCCUCUAUGUCUGUGAGUCUGUUUCUGUUUCAUAAAUAAGUUCAGAAUCUUAAAUUUUUUGAACUAAGGUUUGUACUUAGAUCAUUAGUCCUUCAGCUUUAUUUUCUUUUUAAAUUUUGUUUUUACCCAGGUAAUGCUUGUACAUGGUACAGAAGUUCAAAUUUUAACAAUAGGUAUGCAGAGAGGAGUCUCCCUUCCCAUCUCCCACCCGCCCCCGGCCUCCCUAUCCCCAGAAGCAACUGCUGUCACCUGAUUAUCCAUCCAGAGAAGUUCUGUCCAGCAGUUUUCCAGCUGUGUUCUACCUGAGCCCCGGGCUUCCCACAAGUGCAUCAGAAGCCAACAUAGAAGAGAAGAAUGAAGGAGAAAACCCAUGAGGACAUCAAUCCAUCCAUCAGCGAACACCCAAGCCAAGGUCCUUUAGGAACAAAGGACUCCUCCAGACCCGAGCUGAGCCCAUCUGGAGAACGUCCACUGAACCAGACCAGCGACACGGGAAGUCAGGCCUCACAGCUACCUUUCCUGAGCCUGAGCCACC